rnacentral:rRNA from 1 species
AUGCGUCCGCUUCCCCACCUCCCUCUUUCCCCGGCCACGUGCGGGCUGCCGCAGCUCCGGCGAUGUUCAAGGCGGGACGUUUGUUGUGGUUCAUCGAUCGGGGGCUUCCCUUUGGUACAAAGCCGAUCUUUUUGGAUGGUCUUGGGGGUGUCUGGAGGAUGGACGGCAGCCCUGGCAGCGGGAGGUGUGGCGUUCGGGGGUGGAACCUGCGUCUCAGGUGCGGGCAGGCAGCCAUGGUUUCGCGGGGGCUCGGCCGCGGGUGGUUGGUGGAGCAGGGGUGUGACCGCCCGGGUACAUCACUUGCCCAGUCCUUGUACUGGCCGGCGGCGGCGGUGGCCGUGGACGUCGUAUUCUUCAUGA